CGAUAUAAUGUCAGCGGUACAGCGAAAGUGUUAAGUAUUCCACCUGGGGAGUACGCCGGCAACGGUGAAACUCAAAGGAAUUGACGGGGGCCCGCACAAGCGGAGGAACAUGUGGUUUAAUUCGAUGAUACGCGAGGAACCUUACCCGGGCUUGAAAGUUAGUGACUGACUUGGAAACAGGUCAUUCCUUCGGGACACGAAACUAGGUGCUGCAUGGUUGUCGUCAGCUCGUGCCGUGAGGUGUCGGCUUAAGUGCCAUAACGAGCGCAACCCUUGUUGUUAGUUGCCAUCAGGUAAUGCUGGGAACUCUAACAAGACUGCUACUGUAAGGUAGAGGAAGGUGGGGAUGACGUCAAAUCAGCACGGCCCUUACGUCCGGGGCGACACACGUGUUACAAUGGUCGGUACAGAGGGUUGCUACCUGGCGACAGGAUGCUAAUCUCAUAAAACCGAUCUCAGUUCGGAUCGGAGUCUGCAACUCGACUCCGUGAAGCUGGAUUCGCUAGUAAUCGCGCAUCAGC
rnacentral:rRNA from 1 species